rnacentral:rRNA from 1 species
AUACGUAGGUGGCAAGCGUUGUCCGGAAUUAUUGGGCGUAGAGCGCGCGCAGGUGGUUCCUUAAGUCUGAUGUGAAAGCCCCCGGCUCAACCGGGGAGGGUCAUUGGAAACUGGGGAACUUGAGUGCAGAAGAGGAUAGUGGAAUUCCAAGUGUAGCGGUGAAAUGCGUAGAGAUUUGGAGGAACACCAGUGGCGAAGGCGACUGUCUGGUCUGUAACUGACACUGAGGCGCGAAAGCGUGGGGAGCAAACAGGAUUAGAUACCCGGGUAGUCCACGCCGUAAACGAUGAGUGCUAAGUGUUGGGGGGUUUCCGCCCCUCAGUGCUGCAGCGAACGCAUUAAGCACUCCGCCUGGGGAGUACGGUCGCAAGAAUGAAACUCAAAUGAAUUGACGGGG